rnacentral:rRNA from 1 species
UACGUAGGGUGCAAGCGUUGUCCGGAAUUAUUGGGCGUAAAGAGCUCGUAGGCGGUUUGUCGCGUCGAAUGUGAAAACCCGGGGCUCAACCCCGGGCCUGCAUUCGAUACGGGCAGACUAGAGUUCGGUAGGGGAGUCUGGAAUUCCUGGUGUAGCGGUGAAAUGCGCAGAUAUCGGGAGGAACACCGGUGGCGAAGGCGGGACUCUGGGCCGAUACUGACGCUGAGGAGCGAAAGCGUGGGGAGCGAACAGG